rnacentral:rRNA from 1 species
GAUGAACGCUGGCGGCGUGCCUAAUACAUGCAAGUCGAGCGAACGGACGAGAAGCUUGCUUCUCUGAUGUUAGCGGCGGACGGGUGAGUAACACGUGGAUAACCUACCUAUAAGACUGGGAUAACUUCGGGAAACCGGAGCUAAUACCGGAUAAUAUUUUGAACCGCAUGGUUCAACAGUGAAAGACGGUCUUGCUGUCACUUAUAGAUGGAUCCGCGCUGCAUUAGCUAGUUGGUAGGGUAACGGCUUACCAAGGCAACGAUGCAUAGCCGACCUGAGAGGGUGAUCGGCCACACUGGAACUGAGACACGGUCCAGACUCCUACGGGAGGCAGCAGUAGGGAAUCUUCCGCAAUGGGCGAAAGCCUGACGGAGCAACGCCGCGUGAGUGAUGAAGGUCUUCGGAUCGUAAAACUCUGUUAUUAGGGAAGAACAUAUGUGUAAGUAACUGUGCACAUCUUGACGGUACCUAAUCAGAAAGCCACGGCUAACUACGUG